rnacentral:tRNA from 1 species
AUUUGUAGCUCAGCUGGAUAGAGCAACGCCCUUCUAAGGCGGAGGUCGGGGGUUCGAAUCCCUCCAAGUG